GCCAUAUUGGUCAUAUUGAUUUUAUAAAUCUUUAGCAUUGUAACUUUGACAUAUAUGAAAUGCAGCCAAUUAUUAUACAGAUUCGAUAUAAAGCGAUCGCAGUGCUCUCAUUUUGUGGUAGAUUUUGAAAGUUUGGCUACAAUAAGAGAUCAUUCUUGUCACGGGAGUUUGCAGACUUAUUUAUAGGACCAUAAUUGAAACGAAGCUGUUGAAUUUCAAUCGUAGAAAGUAACCUGCAAAAUCGUUAUUUGCGAUUAAAAGAAAUCACCGUUAUGAGGGGAAACAGAGACAAACAUCGAGAAGAAAAGAAAGUAGCAUUAACGAUCCUGUUUACUGUCUAAGGAUAUGUACAUACGCCCUCUAUAAAUUUUUGCCACUACUGAAGUUUCGUGUACGGUAAUUUGAGAAAUAUGUGACUAUUGCGUGGAGCUGGAAAGAAGUCACUUGGAACUAGAGGAUACGAUUUUCUUUAGGUACUUGCAAAUUUUUAAUUAAUAUUCUGGGAUACUUUGAGAAAAUUAAGAAAAUCAGAAAUAAAUUUAUGAAGUAUUGUGGAAGUUGGUUAAACAAUUUUCCUAUAAUUUAUUUUAUUAUAUUAACCAUUUGUUAUAAAAUUUAUAAUUUCUGUAGCUAUUUCUAAAUUUUUUAUUUUUAAAUUUAAUAAUACACAAAUCACUGAAUUUCUAAAUUUACUAAUUCAUAAAUCAAUGAAUUUCUAAAUUUAAUAAUUAGCAAAUUAAUGAAUUUAUAAAUUUAAUUGUGUACAAAUCAUUAAGUUCAUCAAUUUCUAACAUUUUAAUCUUAAAAAUUCGAGAAGAUGAAAAUGGAAAACUUCUACAUUCCUAAAUUUUAUAAUCUUCAAAUUCCAAGAUAAGAAAAAUUGAAAAUUUUAUAUUUCAGUUCUUCUUAAUAUUUAUAUUAAGAAUCAUAAGUUUUUAAAUUUCCAAAUCCGAAAAUUUGAAUGUGGGAAAGUUAUUAAAUUUUGUGACUGUUAGAUUUGACUAAUUACAAAAAUGUACAACAUAUGUAUUCUCCAUGACUGACUCAAAUGAAACGGCCUAUUCCAACCAUUUAAAUUUAUAUUUGUUCCAAGUGCCAACUUUCCAGCUCCAUAGGAUGUGGCUGCUCGAUAAACGGUUGCUCCAGCAAUCCUAAAAUGUUUUACUAGAAAAAGAAUCACUUAUCAAGUUAUCAUUGAUUUUCAUCAUUUUCAUUUUUUGUAUAUGAACUAAUUUUUCCAAAAUAUUCAUUACUUUGCAAAGCAAUCGAAUAGAACGUAACUGCGUGAGCGAGAAGUAUUUAAUAUUCAUCUAUUUGACGUUCAUUUAUCGAGCGGUCACUUUAUCACAUACGUUUCUGGCGGUACGAGAUUAAUAUGAUACGUUUAUUUUUCACCUAAAUAUGGUAGCUUUCCUUUUUAAUGUUUUAUUGCUCUAUUUUUCCAGCAUUUUUAAACAAGAGUUAAUUUUAAAAAAGUUUGUUGAAACCUGAAUCAAUGAAAACAAAAAUUAACAAACUACCACGUCAUUGUCAAGAUAAAACAAAGGUUCAGAAAAGUAUCGACCGUCAGAAAGAAUAGAAAUAGUCACAUGUGUGUGUUCUGUGUCACAGUGAACGUGUUAAGAAAUACAGGGUGAUCCACCUAAAUGUACCACCUAAAACUUGUGCUACGUAAGAAAAUUCGUUUAAAACGAAAAUUCUGUUAUCGACAGAGAAACACUCGACGUAUAUCUAUUUCAUUAUUAAGUUACUGUUUUCAGCAAGCUAUGACCUUCAGUUUUUAAACUAUAAUUAGGAAAUUUAAACAUGUUUAAAAAAUUAAUGCUGAGUAAAAAACUUUCACGGGUUUAAAAAUAAAUUACCGAGAUCUUCUCGAACGACUUCGAGUCUGUGUUUUGAAACACAUUCCUCAAAAGCAUCGAUUUUUGAAAGGUAAUCGAACAUAAAAAUAUAAAAAUUGAAAGACAUGGGGAUAGUGAGGACCUAGUACCUAAUGUCUUAUAGUAAUUUAGGUGGCGCUUAGGUGAAUCCUGUAUAAAAGAGCAGUGCACGAUAAAAGAUGCCGUUGUAAACUAAACAAUGGACAUCGAAUGGCUGCUGAGAGGUUAGGAUGUAAUUACGAAAAUGGGAUACGAAGUUUGUAUUAGCGAAUUUGUAAUUGAACUAGUGACCCGCAGAAUGCGCCUAUUUAAAAACGUUGAAUCAUGUUCACUGAUUAACUGGCGGCUACCGCAUAUAUCGAGGUACACAUUACAAAAACAGCAACAAAGAGAAAAAAAAUGUUACUAUUUAGAAACUUGAGAACACGUUAUAGAGUAUAAAAAAGGCUUUAGUGUAUAUAGUUUUGUAAAGUGUUAACGGUGUAUAGUUACGAGGAAAAAGAAACAAAAAAAUAAAAAAGAAAAAAGACAAAAGACCUGCCCAGUGUCGAGACAAGGCGUUACAUUUGCGAUUAGUCAUGGUCGAUUUAAAAAAAAAUAGUCAAUGGAUUUUUAUCGCGAUACCAAGACUCACCGGACGUAAACCGAUGACAAUGAGCAAUGGCACAAAGUACGGCGCACCAUGAACUUCAUUGAGGGAAUUGUUGUGAUGAUAGUGUUUUACGCAUGAUGAUCGUUUUCGUUAUGUGUUAGCUGCGUUUACGCAUAUGUAGGUAUGCAUGCGUUACACGCGCACACGCACACGUAUACGUAAAAGCAGAGAUGAAGUUAAUCCGUUGCAUACAUAUGUAUAAUAAUAUGUGAUACAUGCGUAAUAUUUUAAGCUGUCAAUAGAAUGUCCUAAUACCAAAUAUAUGAUAGUGAGAUUAAA